rnacentral:rRNA from 1 species
AUUGAACGCUGGCGGCAGGCCUAACACAUGCAAGUCGAGCGAGCGGCGGACGGGUGAGUAAUGUCUGGGAAACUGCCUGCUGGGGGGGGAUAACUCCUGGAAACGGUAGCUCAUACCGCAUACCAUCAGAUGUGCCCAGAUGGGAUUAGCUAGUAGGUGGGGUAACGGCUCACCUAUGCGACGAUCCCUAGCUGGUCGGAGAGGAUGACCAGCCACACGGGAACUGAGACACGGUCCAGACUCCUACGGGAGGCAGCAGUGGGGAAUAUUGCACAAUGGGCGCAAGCCUGAUGCAGCCAUGCCGCGUGUGUGAAGAAGGCCUUCGGGUUGUAAAGUACUUUCAGCGGGGAGGCGUUACCCGCAGAAGAAGCACCGGCUAACUCCGUGCCAGCAGCCGCGGUAAUAC